rnacentral:rRNA from 1 species
AGCGAACGCUGGUGGCAUGCUUAACACAUGCAAGUCGCACGGGCAGUAAUGUCAGUGGCGGACGGGUGAGUAACGCGUAGGAACGUGUCUAGAGGUGGGGGACAACCCUGGGAAACUGGGGCUAAUACCGCAUAUGGGCUGAGGCCCAAAGCAGUGAUGCGCCUUUGGAGCGGCCUGCGUCCGAUUAGGUAGUUGGUGGGGUAAAGGCCUACCAAGCCUGCGAUCGGUAGCUGGUCUGAGAGGACGAUCAGCCACACUGGGACUGAGACACGGCCCAGACUCCUACGGGAGGCAGCAGUGGGGAAUAUUGGACAAUGGGCGCAAGCCUGAUCCAGCAAUGCCGCGUGUGUGAAGAAGGUCUUCGGAUCGUAAAGCACUUUCGACAGGGACGAUGAUGACGGUACCUGUAGAAGAAGCCCCGGCUAACUUCGUG